rnacentral:rRNA from 1 species
GAUGAACGCUAGCGGGAGGCCUAACACAUGCAAGCCGAGCGGUAUAGUUUCUUCGGAAACUAGAGAGCGGCGUACGGGUGCGUAACACGUGUGCAACCUACCUUUAUCAGGGGAAUAGCCUUUCGAAAGGAAGAUUAAUACUCCAUAAUAUAUUAGAUGGCAUCAUUUAGUAUUGAAAACUCCGGUGGAUAGAGAUGGGCACGCGCAAGAUUAGAUAGUUGGUGAGGUAACGGCUCACCAAGUCAAUGAUCUUUAGGGGUCCUGAGAGGGAGAUCCCCCACACUGGUACUGAGACACGGGCCAG